rnacentral:rRNA from 1 species
UACGGGGGGUGCGAGCGUUGUCCGGAAUCACUGGGCGUAAAGGGCGCGUAGGUGGUUUGAUAAGGGUGUGGUGAAAGUCCGAGGCUCAACCCCGGAUCUGCCGUGCCGACUGUCAAACUCGAGGACUGUAGAGGCAGACGGAAUUCCGGGUGUAGCGGUGGAAUGCGUAGAGAUCCGGAGGAAGACCGGUGGCGAAGGCGGAUCUCUGGGCCAUUACUGACGCUGAGGAGCGAAAGCGUGGGGAGCGAACAGG